UACGGGGGGAGCAAGCGUUGUUCGGAUUUACUGGGCGUAAAGGGCGCGUAGGCGGCGCAACAAGUCACUUGUGAAAUCUCCGGGCUUAACCCGGAGCGGCCAAGUGAUACUGUCGUGCUAGAGUGCGGAAGGGGCUACUGGAAUUCUCGGUGUAGCGGUGAAAUGCGUAGAUAUCGAGAGGAACACCUGUGGCGAAGGCGGGUUGCUGGGCUGACACUGACGCUGAUGCGCGAAAGCUAGGGGAGCGAACGGG
rnacentral:rRNA from 1 species